rnacentral:rRNA from 1 species
ACACAUGCAAGUCGAACGAAGCACUGUAAACGGAGAUUCGUCGAAGUUUACUUUGACUUAGUGGCGGACGGGUGAGUAAUGUAUGAGCAACCUGCCUUUCAGUGGGGGACAACAGUUGGAAACGACUGCUAAUACCGCAUGAUGUCAAUUGGGGGCAUCCCCGAAUGACCAAAGGAUUUAUUCGCUGAAAGAUGGGCUCAUAUCUGAUUAGCUAGUUGGUGAGGUAACGGCUCACCAAGGCUGCGAUCAGUAGCCGGACUGAGAGGUUGAACGGCCACAUUGGGACUGAGAUACGGCCCAGACUCCUACGGGAGGCAGCAGUGGGGAAUAUUGGGCAAUGGGCGAAAGCCUGACCCAGCAACGCCGCGUGAAGGAAGAAGGUCUUCGGAUUGUAAACUUCUUUUAUGAGGGACGAAGGACGUGACGGUACCUCAUGAAUAAGCCACGGCUAACUACGUGCCAGCAGCCGCGGUAAUACGUAGGUGGCAAGCGUUAUCCGGAUUUACUGGGUGUAAAGGGCGCGUAGGCGGGGAUGCAAGUCAGAUGUGAAAUCUAUGGGCUUAACCCAUAAACUGCAUUUGAAACUGUAUCUCUUGAGUGCUGGAGAGGUAGACGGAAUUCCUUGUGUAGCGGUGAAAUGCGUAGAUAUAAGGAAGAACACCAGUGGCGAAGGCGGUCUACUGGACAGUAACUGACGCUGAGGCGCGAGAGCGUGGGGAGCAAACAGGAUUAGAUACCCUGGUAGUCCACGCUGUAAACGAUGAAUACUAGGUGUGGGGG